rnacentral:rRNA from 1 species
AUGUUGGUGGAGGACAAAACGAUUUUCUCGAGCUGAGUAGCAGCUCCAUUAUCAAAUAUGAUUUCAGUCAUGUUGGUUCCCUCAACAAGAAAUCUGUUGAGAUUCUUGAAUUCACCCUCUUUGAAGAUGAGAUUGCUCUUAGUGUACGCAUUGUGUCGAAGCUUGACACACCGUAAGUUCUCAAGCUUGGCAAGUACAUUCAGGUGUUCCUGGCUCAGAAAAGUGCAACUUAGAGUUACCUUGGCAAGUUUAUUGCCAUUAUUGGUCAAUAAUUCAAGAAUCUUCCCCAUAUGUGUGCUAGUGCUUUCGUUGGGGCACUUUUUGCUUCCAUUUAUAGUUAGGCUCUCGAGAUACUUGGGGCUGUUUACCAGACUCAGCUCUGAUGAAGAGCCCUUGUAUAUGCUUAUGUCAAGAGUAAUUGACAGAAAACGGAGGGACUGUUUUAGGAGAUCAUUGAUUGAUUUAAGCAAUCGCUGUAGGUCACUCUCCUUGUUGAUAACCACGCCGAGCUUCUUCAGCUCAUUUAGACCUCCAAUAUCUUUCAAGUCUUGA